CCGUUUUUACCUACAUACAUAUCGCAUCAUUCAUUUGCUUUCUGUAUUUGGCGACUCUGAUUUGUAUAAUGUCAUGUGUAGAAGACUCUCUUGGAUUCCAAAAUUGGAAGGUGGGCUCUCUCUCUUCUCUCAUUUACAGUUCUACUUUGUAGAACACCACCACCAACAAAAACCAAACUACCUCAACCAAUUUUGGUAGAACUUUCUCAUACAUUUUGUGUUCUUCAAUCCAAAAACUCAAAACCCAACUCAAAAGUAACAAUCUUUUGUGAGAUUAGAAUUAUGGGGUACCUUUCUUGCAGAGCUGAAUCUGCUGUCUCCGUCUCCAAUUCCCAGACCCCAUCAGAUUCCCAUGAAAAACCCAUCAAGAUCCAACACUUCGAUUACAGUGAUCUCGUGGCUGCCACCAAUGGCUUCUCUGAUCAGAAGCUCUUAGGCAAAGGCAGCCACGGCUAUGUCUACAAAGCUGUACUUCGUGGCCGUCUUGUUGCCGUCAAGAGACCCUCCAGAGCUCACAGCAAAAUUCCCAGACCCACUUCGAUUUCUGGGCCUGAAGCCACCAACGAGGUCGACAACGAGAUCGAGAUCUUGUCGAAGAUUCAGAGCCCAAGAUUGGUGAACCUUCUUGGCUUCUCCAACGACACGAGAGAUAGGCUUUUGGUGGUGGAGUUCAUGAGCAACGGUACUCUCUAUGAUGUUUUACAUUCUUCUAAUGCUAAUAAUAAGCCUCCCAGUUGGGGAAGAAGAAUUAGAUUAGCUUUGCAAACUGCUAAGGCAAUUGACAUUUUACACUCGUCAAGCCCACCUGUAAUUCAUAGAGAUAUUAAGUCUGCGAAUGUUCUUAUUGACCGUAGUUACAAUGCCCGAUUGGGCGAUUUUGGGUUGGCUCUAAGGUGCCAUUUGGAUGACUAUAAGCUCCGGUCGACCCCGCCGGCCGGGACUAUGGGGUACUUGGACCCUUGCUAUGUUACCCCGGAUAAUUUGAGUACUAAAACUGAUGUGUUUAGUUUUGGGAUUUUGUUGUUGGAGAUUAUAAGUGGUAGGAAGGCUAUUGAUGUUGGGUUUUCGCCACCUUCAAUCGUGGAUUGGGCUAUUCCUCUUAUAAAGAGAGGGAAGUUGAUUACUGUUUAUGAUCCUAGGAUUGUGCCUCCUAAAGAGCCUGUUGUGAGGAAGCAGCUUGCUGUCAUUGCGGCCAAGUGUGUGAGGUCCUGUAGGGAACGAAGGCCAUCGAUGAAGGAGGUUGUGGUUUGGCUUACCGGGUUGAGUAAGUUGGUUCCUCUGCAUUCAUGGAAUAAUUUUAACAAUCCAUGUACAAUGGUAGAGACCAUGGGGCAACCUGUUGAAUCAAGGGCUUCACAGAUGAAUUUGAAUUUGAAUUUGAAGCCAUAUGGAUUCGGAGAAGAGAAUUUUGAAGGCAUGGAAGCUAAGUUGGCUAGGCAAGCUAUGAGGAAUUCGCGGAGGGUUUAUUCUGAUUUGGGGUUUAGUAGCAAUUUGAUGGAGCUUAUGGCCGGUACUGAUGAAGAGUCUGAAUUUCGGGGUAAGGCAGAUGGACACGAGCCCAAUUCAAAACCAGCAAAUCGGGUUUCUAGAUUUGGCAGUGCAAGAUACUUUAGCCGAGGGAGUAAUCAGUCUACUCCUAGUAAUGGGAGAGAAGUCCCUCAUUUGAUUCGAAAUCAGUCAUUUGGACAGAGGUCAUUUAUUUGUUCAAAAAGAGAUGGUGCCAUUUCGCAUGCAAGUGGUGGUAGCCGAUGAUAUCCAGUUUGCUGCAUAAAUUUGAUUCAAGUGAAUAGAAUGAAGGACCUGUUUUGAAGUGUCUGUCGUUCAUAUGCAAAAAUUGCAGCAGGGGUACAUGUGAGGCCUCUGCUAAAUAUAAUGUUUUGUGUUUUAAUUCUGUACUUCGAGUCUGCUUCUAAAAAUUUACAUGGAAUCUGCUUCUUGGUAGUAUUAGUUUGCACUUUAAGUCUUUGUUUCUGAAAGCUCUUUUCUCUCAUUGUGAUAAGUGUGUGUAUUCAAAAGGAUUAUCUUCAGGUCUGAGCUCUAAAUGUAUAUCCCUGUUUGGUAGUGUAAACAAUUGAGCAAAAGCAGGAACUUG